UACGUAGGUGGCAAGCGAUACUCGGAAUCACUAGGCGUAAAGCGCAGGUAGGAGGUUUAGUAAGUCUGUUGUGAAAGCUCCCGGCUUAACUGGGAGAGGUCAACGGAAACUGCUAGGCUAGAGUGCGGUAGAGGUAGCUGGAAUUCCCGGUGUAGCGGUGAAAUGCGUAGAUAUCGGGAGGAAUACCUAUGGCGAAAGCAGGCUACUGGACCGUCACUGACUCUGAUCUGCGAAAGCGUGGGGAGCAAACAGG
rnacentral:rRNA from 1 species